AACUUUCGACAACGGAUCUCUUGGCUCUCGCAUCGAUGAAGAACGCAGCGAAAUGCGAUAAGUAAUGUGAAUUGCAGAAUUCCAGUGAGUCAUCGAAUCUUUGAACGCACAUUGCGCCCUUUGGCAUUCCGAAGGGCAUGCCUGUCCGAGCGUCAUUAUCACCCCUCAAGCCCCCGGCUUGGCGUUGGAGCCUCCGUGUUGGCACGGAUCUCUCAAAGAAAAUGACGGCGGCCUCGUGGGUUCCCGGUACACUGAGCUUCUUAACCGAGCACGUACUGAUGGAUCUCCGGGGCAGACGGUCUCCCUCCGCGAGGAGAAAUUCUAAGGUUGACCUCGGAUCAGGUAGGAAUACCCGCUGAACUUAAGCAUAUCAAUACGCGGAGGCU
rnacentral:misc_RNA from 1 species